AAAUUCGAAUUACAUCAACAGAUCCGCCACAUGCAUAAGGAUAUGCCUUAUACAUACGAAACGUCAACAAAAACUGUCCAAAAAAAAAUUAAUUAAGCUCUAACAAUAGCAAGUAUCAGAGUAAAAUAAAAACUAUAUACUACAGCAACACUAUAAAUAUACAAUUAUCGCUACACCAAUGCUUAAAAUGGUACAAUAUCUCUGACAACUUCAAACCUCAAAAUACUAUACUA
rnacentral:lncRNA from 1 species